GAGAGAAUAUCGUUUCUUUUAGUACUAGUCAAAAAGACACGUAAUCAUGCUCUUUAUUUUAUUCUUGGUUGAGUGAUAAUUGUUCUUGAUACGUUAGAGGCGAUUGUACAAAUAUAGAUGAGGAGCAAAAUCAAAGUUACACCUCUAAGAUGAAGUAACUAUCUAUAUUUGGAAGGGACUAUCAAAGAGUAUGCUAUAUAACUGAAAAAGGAAAAAAAA
rnacentral:lncRNA from 1 species